rnacentral:lncRNA from 1 species
UAGUAAGCCAACCGAUAAAUUUUUUGCAGUAUAAAUAUAAAUAAUAUCAUGUAAUCAUCAGUUUGGUUUCCUACAUCAGUUUAGGUGUUGCUAGUACUUUUAUCAUGAACAGACCAUAAAUAAUCAAACACACGUAUUUAAAUCUCGAACACACGGUCAAGAAUGUUCUUCCAUACUUUUGUAGCAAAAAGUCGUUUCAUCCAUCGUUAGCCAUCAAUAAUUCAUUUACGUUGCUAAAAAGAAGCACAGUUGUGUUUAUUUUGAAAUCUCGGUUUCAACAUCUGGCUGUCGUCCGUUCAAAGCAAAUUUUCUUCGAAGAUUUCUCCAUCCCAUCUUCGCUCCAUCUUUUACCCAUUCUCCUGUGCGCACAAUUUUUGAGUUGUAAGGUCCACGAUGUAAUCGCUUCUCCAAUUCACGAUCAUCAGCAUUCACCAAUUUCCUUUUUUGAUCAUCACUGGAAAUAUUGCUAUGUAUUGUAACAGCAUCGCUAUCAUCUGCUAAUACAGGUUCAACGUUCUCAGAAGCGCCGGGUUGAUUAGUACCUUCUUGAGCGUGUGCUUUCGGUCGGUUUUUUGAGGCAUAACCAAGAGAAAUAAAUUCUUGCUCAAGGUUACGUUCAUUACUAUUCAUCGUACCUAGAGAGUUUCUACCCUGGAUAUCUCCAUUGACAUUUGGAUCCACCAUUGAAACUGUUUGUGUACACUCAAUUGGUGUCCGAUCCGUGGUCGUCUCCUCGUCCUCGGUAUCAACAGAAUCAUCUGACUCAAAUUUAGAAGAUGCAGUGGUAGUCUCUCGGCUUUCAUCCAGGCUUGCUCGUUGAUCCGCUAACGGAUUCUUCAUGUCUUUCACGUAACCUCUUCUUAAACCCAUUGACUUAAGGCAUCUAUAUGUCUCAAAUAUAGCUGCUUCAUCGUCGUUGUCAACAAGUUGCUCGUGGGAAUCGUCCAAACCUCGAUGAAAACAUAUCCUAGUACUCAAAUAUCCAAUGAUUUUAAAUUCUGACUCUUUAUCCGGGUGAUCAAAAUCUAUCAUGUUUUGUAAAACAUGUGCUGGUUUGGACGAAGUAAAAAUCGGGACCCGAAUGUUUUGCUCUACAUUGUCUUCCAGAUCAACCAACCAAACCAUGGCAAAUACAUUAUGUUUCCUCUGAAGUUGUUUUCUGAACUCGAACACAACAGCUGAUCUGUAACGAUUGUUAACUGGAAUUACAGCAUGUCUACUCCGAACAUGGUAUUCAGCAGUGCUGGAAGAAUUGGAAGUACUACUUUUAGCAGUAAUUUUUACGCCUGCUAUGUUAACUCUAAUUGAAGAGAAUGAAACAUCAGAUACACUUCCUGUUCCUUCAGCAACAAUUUGUCGAUCCAUGAAUUCCAGAGUACCAAUAUCCCAACCCAACAAAUUUCUGGGAAUUUUCAAUUUCAUACUCCUAAAAAGAAUGGAAAUGCGAACACUCCCAAAUCCGAUACCACCUUGUAUGGGAUACCAUUUUGUCAGUUGGGAAGAAGUUGUUAACGUCGUAGCGAGUGGAAUGUUAACGACUCCAAGAAUGGAAUCAUGUUCACGCAAUUUGAAAUCACGUACGGUGAAGCACAACAUUGCAUUUCUCCAAUCCUUAACAAAUUUUUCGCUUCCAGCGUUGUAAAUAGGGUUUGAUGUAAAUACCUUGGUUCGUGUUUUAUACACGAGUGUGUCAUCUAAAUCAACACAAACAUAGGAAGAAGGUAGCUCUGAACCUUCUUCAGCUGUUACAUCUCCUACGCUCUGAGCCGGACUUGUGUUAUAGUUUCCACUCACGUUUCCAAAAGUACCAGUUGGAUGGUUCAUUUGCAAAUUCACAGCUUGAUGCACGGUAAAAGAUAAAAUGCCACUAGGAUACUCUUCAUCAGGAGCAGUCGUGACAGCAGCUUCCUCUUCUUUAUUAUCCAAUGAGCCAUGUGGAUUUUGAAAAGCUGGAUCAUCUCUCAUAGACCUUGGAAUAGUGAUAUCAUGUCCACUCGUUUUUAAAGAAGGUUUAAAUUCGGCUCUAGGGAAGUACCCAAUUUCGUAAAACACCCUGCCAGGUAGACUAGUAUCUUCACUAAUUCCAGUAAGCGUGUCGCAUCUUUCAUGCAUUUUUCCAGAAUCUUGAAUAAGAAGGUGUAAACCGAUUUUCGUGCGGCCUACUACAUCAUCGGGACUAAACCUGUCACUAUCCCAUAAUUCAAUAGAAAUCUUCUCACCGGCUUUAACUUGAUCAGGGAACACAGGAAUAAAAGCAUAUUCAUUCCAGAUAGGAUUCAGAUCCUGUUUUACGACGCGUGUACAGUACAAAGGUUUACCAAACUUAUGAAAACCGACGGUUAUAUAAGCAUCAGAAAGACCAUUCACAUCCUGCUUACUUAAAUCUUCUGCACGAUUAAUAUGAACAAAAAUAACGCCCAAUGCAUUGACCUCUUUCUUUAUAUCAUCUCCUAAAAGCGUCUUGGACAAAUCAAUAGUCAUACUUUUGGGACUAACGUAUUCAUUUGCAGCCGCGGAAAUAGCGUCAUUAACGAAUUUUGAAAUUAAUGGAAGUCCAAAUAUGUUAACACCUCCCUCAGCUACGGGAACAGCGGACACAUUCAGUUCGGGAAGUCCCAUCAAAGAGAAGGUGACAUUUUUCAAAAAAGGAACCUCAGGCAUGAGUUCACAGCGAAAGCGGAUUCUAGCAACAAAUCCUUUUAUCUCGACCCAUAUUGGAAGGGGAAAUCCCACUGUACCUUUAAUACCUGGAUAAAAAACUAUGCGUAAAUGCAGGUUGGAAGCUCGAGCACUGGUUGAUGUUGCAUCCUCAACGGGUUUGGCGUGAUAAGCUAGACAAAGUUCGAAGUUAUAAAAUUGUUUUCGCUGCUGUUCUGGCUCGUCUUUGUGUUCAGCUUCAGAGGCUUGCUUCUCACUAAACGAUUCACUGGCCUCACCUGAAGGCAAACUUCGAAUGGAAACAACACGAACGGGAUGACUUCCUUGGUCCAAAGAAGCAACGCGCACAUUUUCAACAAACGACGGUAUAGAGGCUUGCAUUACAUCUUCAAUUUGGUCAGCUACAGAAGAAAACAUUUCAGGAUUGAUUAAGGGCCAAACUUUUUCCAAUAAAUGAUUCAUCCACUCGGCGCUUUCGGGAAUCAAAUUCAAACGAGCGUAUUCUCCGCGUUUUUGUUCAGCGCCCCAUUCCGCAUCCUUGGCAACAGCAUAUAUAUUUUGCAUCCAUAAAUACAUACAUGAAGAAAUGGCCAGAGGCAACACGGCUGAAAUGAUAAUAGAAUGAGUAAAGAACCACGAAAUUACGAGAGAAAAUAUAUAUGCAAACAAAGAAUAUUGACCAGUUUUUUGUUUGACCUCUUUCGAUACAUAAGAUAGAUCAAUGGAAGGGGAGGGGAAAAAGAGAAUAUUCGUUUUUUCAUCGCUAAUAGGGACAUCACGAGUGAUUUGAUUAUCCGCUUCUGGUGGAGCUAAAUCAUCUUGAUGCUGCUUAUAAACAUUUGUUGGUUGGUUGGAUGACAAAUAAGGCUUUUCAGAAGGUAAGGAUGAACCUUGGAUUGAUUGAUUAGGAACUGUAAAACUAGGAUCAUCAUAUGUUUUGGCAUAAUCGAAAUGAACGUCGUUAAUCUCUACAUCUCGCUGGGUAAUUGGGUCGAAUAAUUUUUCGUUUUCAGUCUGUUCCCGUUGUUGCUCUUCCUUUUUCUCUGCACGCUGUUUGCGAUCGCGAAAGAAUUUUGGAAUAGUGGGGAUCGGACGACGUCCUGAAUAGGGGUCAGAAGAGCGAUAGUGUUGUUGCUUGGUGGAAUCUCCGCUAUGAGUAGACAUAUUGGGAGCGAAAAAGUAUAGGAAAUUUCAAAAAAAAAAAGAAACGGAUGGUUAGUACACAAAUAGACUAUAUAAAAACAAAGAAGGGUUCAACUUUCAAAGAACUAAUUUUUUUGGCAAUUUAUAUACGAAGCAACAAUAAGGCAAACACCAAUGCAAAAUUGAUUUAAAGAAGAAAAUAAUUUAUUUCUUUGAAUUUUGCUUUUGAUUUCGGUUUUAACGGAGGUUUUGGUUUUUGUGUAUAUAAGGACUUUUCUUAUUAACGUCUUCCUAUAAAGCCCAGAUUUUUUUUUGUUCUUUUCUUUCUCUUUUUAAAAGCACCUUCUCAAGAAAUGUAUCAAGCUCUAUCAGCAGUAACAAAACACUGACUGUAAAAAUGAAUCGGCGAGUUUUUCACGAAGGAGAUAGGCAAUAUUAAAUUGAAAUAAAUAAAUAAACAGAGGAUGUAUCGGGGAUAAGACGAUGGAUGUUACGUUUUUCAAAGAAUAUGAACGAUAAACAAGUAAAAUUGGAAACGGGGUAUUGACGAUGUCUGUCUGUUUAUAAACCAAUAUAUAAUAUAGUCGUUUUCACAGUUACAGGACAAGCAAGUCAAAUAUUUUAAAAGUCGAUUUGGACUUCGUUUGUCGAUGAAAGAAACACAAAUUUAGAUAUGCGAACAGCGUAGGCAUAAAAACACCUGAAUUUCUCAAUUCACCCUUGCACU